rnacentral:piRNA from 1 species
UGACACUGGAAACCUGUGCCCUUUCAAGAU